GACGAACGCUGGCGGCGUGCUUAACACAUGCAAGUCGAACGGAAAGGCCCUGCUUUUGUGGGGUGCUCGAGUGGCGAACGGGUGAGUAACACGUGAGUAACCUGCCCUUGACUUUGGGAUAACUUCAGGAAACUGGGGCUAAUACCGGAUAGGAGCUCCUGCUGCAUGGUGGGGGUUGGAAAGUUUCGGCGGUGGGGGAUGGACUCGCGGCUUAUCAGCUUGUUGGUGGGGUAGUGGCUUACCACGGCUUUGACGGGUAGCCGGCCUGAGAGGGUGACCGGCCACAUUGGGACUGAGAUACGGCCCAGACUCCUACGGGAGGCAGCAGUGGGGAAUAUUGCACAAUGGGCGGAAGCCUGAUGCAGCAACGCCGCGUGCGGGAUGACGGCCUUCGGGUUGUAAACCGCUUUCGCCUGUGACGAAGCGUGAGUGACGGUAAUGGGUAAAGAAGCACCGGCUAACUACGUG
rnacentral:rRNA from 1 species